rnacentral:tRNA from 2 species
UCCUCGAUGGUCUAACGGUCAUGAUUUCCGCUUGUCAUCUUAUCAAAGACCAAGCGCGGGAGACCUGGGUUCGACUCCCAGUCGGGGAG